UACGUAGGGUGCAAGCGUUAAUCGGAAUUACUGGGCAUAAAGCGUGCGCAGGCGGUUCUAUAAGACAGAUGUGAAAUCCCCGGGCUCAACCUGGGAACUGCAUUUGUGACUGUAGAGCUGGAGUGCGGCAGAGGGGGAUGGAAUUCCGCGUGUAGCAGUGAAAUGCGUAGAUAUGCGGAGGAACACCGAUGGCGAAGGCAAUCCCCUGGGCCUGCACUGACGCUCAUGCACGAAAGCGUGGGGAGCAAACAGG
rnacentral:rRNA from 1 species